GUGAUUUCUAUCACGGGGCCAUGAGGACAAGUCAGCCUGCUUGCCGGUCCUUUCCCAAGGAAUACAUAAACGGUAGGAUGGCAGUCCUGAAGGGGUCCAUGGGAGACAGUCUGGCUCAUGGCUCUCCUUUUAUAGCAGAGCAGGCUACAGCACGGAGAAAGGUCUUGCAGGGGCCACGCUGUGAAUUCUUUAUCAGAGUCCAGAGGAAACUCGAGUCUCUGGCCUUUGUACUGGUUUCCCUUUCUACCUGGAGACAAGAAAAUGUUAGCUUUGCUGCUCAUGCGUUUAUUCGCUGUGUUUGUACUUAAAUUGAAUGACAAACAAAGGCCCUGAAGAAAACUGGAGCUUUAGUAAUGAAAACAGUGGAUGGAGAGUUCUUCAUGAAAAGAUGUGAUAUCGGUAGGUUUUAAGCAGCCAGCCCUGUUCUGGACUGAGCAUCAGUUUGUUGGAGAAUGACUGUCUUUUGGGAAGACAGUACUCUCUGGUGAUGAAAAAAAUCAGCACACUUAUCAUUGUAACUAGAAAAUACAAAGCAACAUAAUAAAAGCAUUUCUUUCAUGACUAAGAGGGAGAUAGUAUUUUGAUACUAGCUGGUCUUCCUAAAGUAUGCUGUGGCUUUAUAAAAAUUAAGAUCAUUGCAUGUAUAACAAUUAAGAUAUUGUUAUUGAUAAUGUAUAAUUGAUAAUGUAUCAGAUUAUUUCACAUAUAGGUAAAAAGUCAAAAUGGCCAUAUUUUCAGGGAAUUCGUUGAGUGAUGGCUACACCUUCAGCCAUGCCCGGGUGAAGAUGUACUUGCCUGGCUUGGUCCAUACAUCUCCCAGCCCCAGACUUCAUUUAUUUCUUGAUCUCUUGGUCUUCCUGGCUUUUAGGAUCUCUGUGUGUUCCUCUCUGUAGGACUUGUCUUUCUCCCCAGUUUCCUAAUAAAGUCUUCAUGCUGAAAAAUCAUCCCCAGCCUCCUUUCUGUUUUUAGCCAGAGUUCUCUCUGCUGGCUGGAAGUGCCAAGGCAAGUACAAAAAGAGUGAGGGGCCAUUGCUCAUAACUCACUAUUCCCAGUAAAGAUGAAAUGUAGGCAUUUCACAGGUCAGAAUCAACUUUGCUCUCUGAAGGGAAGCCUUCCUCUCUGCAUGCACAUUCAGAAAAUAAUCAGGGUGUUUCCGGUACUUAGUCUCUCUGUCCAAGAACCCUUUUCCUUUGUAAGAAACAACUGUUUUCUACACACACACACACACACCGCCUUUUUAAUUUUGAGAUUGUGUUUUAAUUACUACAUGUCUUCGUUCCCUUUCUUCCAGACUAUUUCAUACUCACUCCCCACUUCAUCACGUGCAUGACCUCGUUUUCCAUCCGUUGUUAUCCCAUGCAUAUGCAUAACCUGUUGAGUCUAUACAACAUUACUUGUGUGGGUGUCUUUAGGGCUGACAAUUUGACACAGCCACCUGGUGUGCUCUCAUCUGGGUAGUACCACCUCUCCCACUCCCAGCUUCCUUCAGUUGCCUAAGUUCUUUGUGUAGGGUUGAGGACCUCAUGGGCUUUUCCCUAUGCAGUUUGACAUGUCUACUGGUGUCAUCCUUGUUCAGCUCACCUUUGGGCAGCCAUGUUGGUGAGACUUUAUGGGUGUAGUUCUGAUAUUAUUAGAAGACACAAUUGCAGAGCAAACUCCCUUAUCCUCUGGCUCCUACAAUCUUUCUGCUGUCUCUUGAGCCUUAGGGUGGGAGAGUUGUAGAUGUAUCCAUUGGAGUUGGCUCCAUAACUGUGCAUUUUGAUUGACUUUGGUUUUCUGUAGUCACCUCUGUUACAGAGAUAACUUUCAUUUAUGAGGGGUAAAGACAAUUAUUUAUAGAUUGUUAUUAGUAAUUCCUGCUUUAACACCACUCACUUCUAUAUUCAUUUCUUAAUUCUCUUCGUAUUUCUUAAAACCUGAUAAUUGUUCUCUUUUGAGUCACAGUCCUCACCCUGCACUAUGGUAAUAGUGGUAAUAGAUGAUAAUCUUGGUAAUGAUGCCAAUGUUGUGGCUACUUGUGACCAGUAGUUCCUGUCGGGACAAUGUCCAAUGGGCCUUGUUAUUGACAUAGGUGAGAACAGUAUUGCUGUAAUACUUAUAAAGUAUUCCUUAUUCCAUCAUCUGUACACAUAUGUAAACAUUGUUGUUUUCACCUUCAAUUUCCAAUUGCAUUUUAUUACUAGGAGUGAAUUUUUUUUAUCACAGAAUGGAAGCAAUGAUAUAACAGGAAAUGUAUGAGCUUUACCAAAGUCAAAGGUGGGAGUGUGGUUUUAUUAUUGUCCUUAUUUGGAGAACGUUUGCUUCAAGGAGAUGCAUGAUGGGCAAAGUGCAGACUGUGUGUUGUCGGUUGCUUUGCUGGCUUAGGAUGUAGUACCCAGGAACUCAGUCAAACUCUGCAUGCUGCUUCAAAGGUGUUUUGCAACUAUGCAUAAUGCACAGUCAGUUACCUUUAAUAAGGGAGAUUAUUAUCCAUAGUCUGAGUGGAUUUAUGUCUUGCCUAUGAUGUAUAGUUUUAACAUAACACCACAGGCUGAGUAAUUCAUAAAAAGAAAGAAAACUGUUUCUCAAUUGUGGAGGCUUGACCCAUCAGUUAUCAAGAUACAAGCAACUGUCUAAGGCCUUGGCUUGGGAAGGCGGAAGGUUGACCAAACAGGAAAGUAAGAGGGAGUUAUACUGGCCUUUGAUAUCAAUUUACUCGUGGUAUUCCAUGAACCAUCUUGAUAGCAGCAUUUGUCUAUUCUCAAGAGUAGGUCCUUCAUGAUCUCGCCCCCUCUUGUUAGAUGCCACUUUCCAACACUGUGGCAUUAGGAAUUCCUUUUCCAGCACACAACUUUGGGAGACAUAUUUAAGCCCUAAUAGCAUGAUUUGGUCAGAUCUGUGACUUUCCUAAAAGGAAGAAAUUCCUCCAGCUCGUGCACUGGUCUCCAGCUUGCACAUCCCAAAGGUAUGCAUUUCGGACUGCCUCCCCAACCCCUAUGACCACACAAGGCAGCUCCUUGCAGUAAUUCCUACCAUACAUAUCUAUUGCUGGUUCUCUUCUCUGGUUGAACCCUGACUGAUGCAGAAAGAAACUCUCCCAGGAGGUUAGGUAACAAGUAUCAGGGGUAAGGCUGCUAUUUUAUACUGUGGUUUCCCUUUACUGCCAGACUUCUCUGUGUCUUCCAAGGGGCUAGGGUUCUCUGCCUAAUCCAGUAGUCCUACAUUUGUCGGGGGAUAGCAAAGGCCUGUUCAGUUUAUCAUACGUAUCUAUGAAGCUCUGAAACUUUCCUAAACAGCUUAAAAGUUAUUGUGUGCUCUUUGAUUUUAAAAAUAAGUCAUCACUGAGUAUAUUUUUAUUAUUUAUUUCUUCGAAGUAGAAAUGUAUGAGAUUUUCAGAAAGUUAUCUUAGCUUGAAAUCAUAAUAACUGUGGUGUGUGUGUGUGUGUGUGUGUGUGUGUGUGUGCACGCACGCACGCUUCAAUUUAUACCCAUUAUUUCACUAGAAGUAAUCAUGUACAUUAUUGAGACAGACACAUUGAUCAAUGGAAUUGAAUCAAAGGCCCUGAAAUAAACCAACAUACCCACAGACAAUUGAUUUUUGACAAAGAAGUCAAAACCAUACAAUG
rnacentral:lncRNA from 1 species